rnacentral:snoRNA from 1 species
GGUCUCCUGGUGCUUACCAUAGGCUGUAUUCUUACACUGUAUAGAAAGAGGAGGCAAAGUAAACCUACCCCAAUAUAGAACAAGGAGGAUUAGUCUAAGAGGUAGAAGGAAAAAUGG